rnacentral:rRNA from 1 species
AUACAGAGGGUGCGAGCGUUAAUCGGAAUUACUGGGCGUAAAGCGCGCGUAGGCGGCUACUUAAGUCAGAUGUGAAAUCCCCGGGCUCAACCUGGGAACUGCAUCUGAUACUGGGUAGCUAGAGUUUUGGAGAGGGAAGUAGAAUUUCAGGUGUAGCGGUGAAAUGCAUAGAGAUCUGAAGGAAUACCAGUGGCGAAGGCGACUUCCUGGCCAAAAACUGACGCUGAGGUGCGAAAGCGUGGGUAGCAAACGGGAUUAGAAACCCUGUAGUCC